AUUACCUGGAGAUCUUAUUAAAAUACGAAUUCUGAUUCCGUAGGUCUGGGGUACAGCCUGAAAUUCUGCAUUUCUAAUAAGCUCUCAGAUGAUACUA
rnacentral:pre_miRNA from 1 species